rnacentral:rRNA from 1 species
UACGUAGGUGGCAAGCGUUGUCCGGAUUUACUGGGCGUAAAGAGCGCGCAGGCGGUCGUUCAAGUCGCGUGUGAAAGCCCCCGGCUCAACUGGGGAGGGUCACGCGAUACUGAUCGACUCGAAGGCGGGAGAGGGUAGUGGAAUUCCCGGUGUAGUGGUGAAAUGCGUAGAUAUCGGGAGGAACACCAGUGGCGAAGGCGACUACCUGGCCUGUUCUUGACGCUGAGGCGCGAAAGCUAGGGGAGCAAACAGG